ACCACUUUAAACCUUUGACUCCGGACCAGGAUGAGCCCCCCUUCAAGUCAGCAUACAGUUCUUUUGUAAAUCUUUUCCGUUUUAACAAAGAGAGAGGAGAAGGGGGCCAAGGAGAGCAGCCGUCUCCCAGUGCAAGCUGGUCCAGCCCUCAGAUCCCUUCGAGGACACAGUCUGUGAGGUCGCCCGCCCCUUACAAAAAGCAGCUUAAUGAGGAGCUUCAGCGGCGCUCGUCAGUGUUAGCGGAGAACUCUUUGCCACAUCCCCAGGAGAGCACAGGUUAGUUUCAACUUUACAGAUGGAUUCUGCACCUAUUCUUGGGAUGCUAAUGAAGUGUGAUGUGCAUGCCACUGGCUGCAGAACACUGUCAACUCCACUGGUGGGCUGCCAGUUGCUCUUGGCCUGUCUUUGUUGGGGU